rnacentral:rRNA from 1 species
UACGAAGGGGGCGAGCGUUUGUUCGGAUUUACUGGGCGUAAAGGGCGCGCAGGCGGUUCUGUUUGUCGAGUGUGAAAGCCCCGGGCUCAACCUGGGAACUGCGCUCGAAACGGCGGAACUAGAGUUCGGGAGAGGAGAGUGAAAUUCCCAGUGUAGAGGUGAAAUUCGUAGAUAUUGGGAAGAACACCGGUGGCGAAGGCGGCUCUCUGGACCGAUACUGACGCUGAGGCGCGAAAGCGUGGGGAGCAAACAGG